GCGCAGGUGGAGGGGGCUGCGGCCGAUUAGCUGGUUGGUGGGGUAAUGGCCUACCAAGGCGGUGAUCGGUAGCUGGUCUGAGAGGACGAUCAGCCACACGGGGACUGAGACACGGCCCCG
rnacentral:rRNA from 1 species